UGUCAAAGCGAGCGUAGAACCUGUUUAACUCGUUUUCAGACUCCUUAUCAGAAUAGAGGACUGACCCAAUUUACACAAGUGCAUUUAAAUUCAUGAUGACUCUACAUUACUCUACAUCCAUUCCUCGAUUAUCAUUAAACUCUUUCGAUGCUGCAUAUCGAUGGCAAGACAAAUCCUUCACCCAGGUUUUAUCAACAUCAGGCCAGUGAUGUCUGAGAUAUCCAGGGUGUAAUUUCCUUGUGCAAUUGUAUUUUUAUUUUUUAAAUGUAACACUAGUUUAAAUGAACAGUAGUAAAUUUGUUUUGUGUACUUUACUCUGUUUAGGGUACAGUCCUCACUAUUAAAAUGCAAAGGUCAACUUGAAAUUUUGUGUGAGUGGGAUUUUGUGUCAAUGGGGAUUUGUGUGGUGGGUCUAGCUUUUAAGACUUCAGAGUAUGAAAACAAUGGGAACAUAAUAAUAUCCUCUUAUUCAUUCCCCUUCCAGUUUUUUAAGACACUGCUGCCAUUUCGCAGUGCUCACCUAGGACUGCCCCUCUCUACAGGAAAAUGUACAACUCAUGCCCUUAUCCAGACAAAGAGUGGCAUGAGUGUGAUGUGAGGAGACCGAUGCCUCUGUGUGAUUAUAUUGGCAUGGUGGAAACCUUAUCUAGCUACCAGGUUCUGUCGAAAGAAGGAACCAGUGAAAGCCCACAGUUUCUCCCUGGAGUUCCAGAAAAGGUACACUUCAAAAUGCAUGUGCUUACAAUUAUUUGCAUGCCGGAAUUGUUGCAUUAAUUGUUUCUUGGUCAUUUUCUAGCAUUUAUUUUACAAAUCCUGUUCAUGUCAUGGGACUAAUUUGGAUAUUUUGUUUUGCAUACAGUAUCUUGUUCAUGUUCUCAUGGCUUGGGAUUUGGGAUUCAGGGGAUUUAUUUAUGCCACAAAUGGAUUUGUUGACAGUGCCUGGGAAAGCAUGGAUUGCGGUCAUAACUUGUGUAUAGACUUCAUGCAAGCAAAGGAAAGUAGCUUCAGUCUCUCACUCCUUGUCACUCCUCCUUUUCUGCCAUAGGCUGUUUUCUGUGAUGGGAGUGUCGAGUCCAGAAAUAGAGGUCAUAGUGGUCAUCAAGUAUUUAUACUGGCUGGCUAGCAAACCUGCUGCAACCUGAUCUGGGACAAAGAAGGCGCAAUAACCUCAGACCAUUUUCUUCCCUUUUAAUAUUUUUAUAUUCCAUUCAGUGGCAAAUAUAAAACAAUUACGAAAUAUAACUACCAGAACAUGUUGUUAUUAUUAUACAUGUAAGUCAUACAAUUUAAAGGGGAAGAACAAUCACACGAUCACCCCCUUCAUAUUGUCAAAGCUCUCCCAAAAACAUCUGUUCCAAGUGGUGGUAGGACGCCGUCAAACAUUUCCCCACCAAUCACAGUGAGGUUCAUGUAUGCAGCACGUCCUUUAGGGGAGGGGUAUUGGGUCUCCUAAACCACUGGUUUGUUUGCAAGGUGGGACUUCACAUACAGAUGAAGAUUUCAGACAGGUAAUCACUGUUUUUAUCUUUAAUGUAAGCAGCAGAAUACAGUUGCACUCACCUGGCUAGUCAAACAACAAUAUUGUUGUCCUUAAUGUAAUUACAUAAUAGGCAUGAAGCAAACAUUAAAUUAUUCUUGGGACAAGAAUUUUAGCAAUAUUCCCAUCAAAGAUGGUGUUCUGUAUCCUUCUGAACGGGGUGUGUGUGUUUGUGUGCAUGCGUGGGACAGGCCAGACAGGGUGGGAAAAACCUCACACUAACUUGGCUUAACAUCACAUCCACUCCUGUCCAACGCAAGAGCCAUACAGGUGAACAGAUCACAUUAUCUUAUGCUGAAAGGAGAAGUGAAAGGAGUGAAGAAAAAGUAAAAGGAGAAGUGUUGAAACACAUGGCCAACAUAUCAAAAGAACCAACGGUUCUCUCCUGAGUAGCUGAUUCUUAGCUUAUGCAUAAGUCAUUUCAUCUUCCACACUAAGCCACCCACAGUCCCAAUCCGCACGAACCACCGCCAAGCCAGAAAGCCCUCUGGCUCCCUAUUAACACAGGCUGGGCUGGUCUGCUGUCAGCUAGGCUGUGCUUGUUAAUGCAGUCCCAGGAGGAAAGUUAAAGCAACUAUAGUCCCUGAAAAGAAGACGGUGCAGUAGGCAUCAGAUCUGAUAUUGGUUAGCGUGGAAGGGAUGAUGAGAAACCAAACUGUAGGAAGAAGGACCCAGGGUCUAUUUACGAGAAUCCUAAUAAAGCAAACCAAGGGGAGUAAUCUGACUGGGGGAAAAAAGGGUUUUCCUAUGUGGUGUGCUAAUGAACACAACCCAACCGUCUCAGGAAAAGUAAUUUAGAGAAUGCUUGUUAAAAAGUUUUGAUGUUGAGGCAAGAGUCAGAGUUCAGUUGGUCUGGUACUGUAUACCCACGUGGCAUGUCUGUUGAGGCAGGGAACACACUACUUUUUUCGUUCCCUGAUGGCAGCCUGUGGCAUUUAUGUUGCUGAGGCAUCACAGUCAGACUGACUCCCGCUAAGCCAAAUUUCCAUUUCACGCACUCCUCUUACACAUGCAAACAUGCCAGCUGAGGCACACAGAGGGCUAUAGUCUUCCCCGAAAAUGUGUGCAAAUGUUUCGACCUCUGACCCAUUCCUGUGUUUAGAGAUCUGAUUGCUGUAAUUACCCUGAAACUUAUGUAUUUUAAUGAGACCUUUCUUAGAUAGGGGAUAUUACCUUUAUAUUUCUUAGACAGGGGAUAUUACAACAGACACCACAAACGUGUACAUUUAAUGCAAAUCCAUGCGCAUUAUACAGCUCCUGAAAAAAUGAAGAGACCACUGCACCUUUAUCUUUCCUUCUCAAAAAGGUUGAAAAGGAAGGUUUUGAGUGAGGAACAGAAGGUUUAAAAUUAAGAGACCACUGCAAAUUGAAUGCUUCUGUUCCUCACUCAAAACCUUCCUCUUCAACUUUUUUGGAAAGGAAAGAAAAAGGUGCAGUGGUCUCUUCAUUUUUUCCCGAGCUAUAUGUCCAUUCGUUCAUUCGUUCACUGUAUAUCUGGUGAGCUUAACGCAGAUUCCUGUGUUCUGUCCCUAUAUGUUGUCCACCUCUUGCAGCACCAUCACAUCAACUGAAAUUCUGAGUGUGGGCACAUUAACUGAGCCAUUAAAGGAGACUUGGGUCCUUUCUAGAUGACUAAUGACAUCACACAGCCUCUCAAACAUGCCUGAGGGUUUUUGGGAUAAAGUGUGCCCGCAUUAGCAAUGUUUCGAAAUAAAUUCAGUAUUUUGGUGUUUAUACUGUAAAAUGCUGGUUCUGUAAGAUGCUGAGGGCUGAACCAGGUGACCUGUAAUCGAUUCAUGUACAAACACUGUAAACAUGAGUGAAAUGUACACUCCUUUAACCGUGAGGUUGGAAGACCUGCAUACAUCCAAUAAAAAAUAAAAUAAUUUGAAGUACGUAUCCAAGAUUUCACUUGAAUUAGUAUUUGGACAUAUCUGGUAGCGAAUCGAUCCUGGAGCAACCACCAGCCAACAGCAUCACUUCACAGCAUGAGACUGACAACAUCAGGGUAGUUAUAACCACCACAUCUAACAAAGAGUCCUCGUAUCCCCAAUGGAGCCAUUCGCAUGCUACACGAAGAACCUGUCUGCCUCUGGUAUGGAAGCCUGCCAUAAAGUGUCCCUUUUGGAGGUAAUUCUGAAGGCGGGGUCAGACGAAAUGUCAAGGACCAAGCCUAUAAGGCCUGGAGUGUACAUCCAUUUCUGUUGUCUUGAGUAAGACAAUUGUUCUAAAGUAUUAAAAUCCCUUUUCUUAGCAGUUAUGAGCAUAGUGUACAUCGCCUCUAAAGCUUCGACUGGGCUCUACGUAAGUUCAGUCAGGUUGAUAAAUAAUUUGCCCUGAGAAGUGUAGUGCAGAUACUGUCCAGUCUACCAAGUGCAAUCACUGUAAUUGUGGCACGAUUUGUCUCCUGUGCAGCAAUGACGUCCAUAAUAGAUAACAGUCCCUGAGGUUCCUCAUGGAUGACUGUUGCACGACAAGGAGUUGGCCUCACUCCAAGGCUUGUCUCUUAUGCACUGGUUACCGGUCAUUUCCCAACCCACUAACCAACGGAAAGACACUUUACUGUUCAGAAAGAGUAAAUACUAACAGCUCUGGAAAAAAUGAAGAGACCACUGUACCUUUUUCUUUCCUUUUCCAAAAAAGUCAAAAAGGAAGGUUUUGAUUGAGGAACAGAAGCGUUCAAUUUGCAGUGGUAUAUUAAUUUUAACCUUCUGUUCCUCACUCAAAAUAUUAUUUUUUGACUUUUUUUAUAUAUAAUAUAUAUAUAUAUAUAAUAUAUAUAUAUAUAUAAUAUAUAUAUAUAUAUAUAUAUAUAUAUAUAUAUAUAUAUUAUUUUUUUUAUUAAGUCAUUUGUGAAAAAGAUCCAUUUUAUUUUACUCAAGGACUUAUGAUUUAAAGCAAUCAUUCGUUUAAAGUGUUCUUAUUUUCCAUUUUCCUUCAGGGGGACCAAGGGCUUCGUGUGCUGACUGAUUAUUGUAUACUCAUGACUUGGUGUCUCUAAAUCAAGACACAGGAACAUUUGUGUCUGUCCCCAAUCAUUCUGCCCACCACAGCGUGUGCGAGAAUUGCUGAUGUUCCUAAAAGGUUCAUCUGCUAAUGUAUUUCUUAAUAAUACUCGACACCAUUCUUAUUAUCUGGUGUGGGGCUACUGUGCUUCUUGUCUGUUACAGUUAUGGUUGUAGUAGAUUAUAAAAUGGUUGUGGUUUUGGGUGUGGGCUGUCAGGGCAAACAUGAGUGAUCUACACCCAUUAGAAAGGAAGGAGUGGUCAUGCUAGUUAUGUUUCCCUUCAUGUUUGGAUAGUGGAUGGUUAUAUCAAACUGAAUGUAACAAAUGCCUUUUCUAUUUCAAGUUUUCUGCGUAAAUAGAUAGAGAACAGGUAGUAUUCAUUCGUCUAUAGCAACACGGAACGCAGGCAUUCAUUUGUCAUUUCAUAAAAUGGGAUUUUAACCCAUCAAAAUAUAAUACUCUGCCCACACUCUACAUCCCCACAUCCCUUAAUCCUCUCUUGACAGACCAAUAUCUGGUUUACCAGAACACAACAAUACUGUACAGUAUAAUAUGUUUUGAACUGGUAUUUCUAGGUUUUGAUAAGCAUACAGUAGAAACUUUCAUUGCAUUAUUUUUGUUUCGGUAGUACAUUCCCAAGAGAACAUUUACCCAAACUGCAAGAGAUUUUCCAUCUAACAACGACACAUUGUUUGAAAGAUUACAGUUAGUGUGCUGUAACCUUUUUCUGCUUACAACUGGUUCCUAUAUAUGGGCCCUUUCCAUGAUUUCUAACCCUAUCAUACACGCUGUAGUUGUCUGAGUAAGAAAGUUCAGGUCAAUCCCCAGAAACUAAUGUUUUUUAUUUCCUCCUCUAAAGUUUCAGUUUAGGAUUUGGGCAGGAAAAAGCUAUCUCAGAUCUGU
rnacentral:lncRNA from 1 species